AAGCAGAACUGGCGAUGC
rnacentral:snRNA from 1 species